UAAGUUUCUUCAUUUAAUUAAAAAAGGCAAGCAACUUCAGAAGACCUGUGAUGUGCUAACAUGCUGUCUGCCAUAUUUAUUGAUUAUCCUUUAAAAGAAUAUAGAGCAUUUGACAAAGUAAUUUUGGUUAAAGUAUCUUAUUGUGGAAACUUUGCUGUUCCUCAAAUGUGCAGUGGAGAGAGGGGGCUGAGGAAAGGAAGGAAACUGAAGAACCCUCUGGAAGAUUAGUGAAUGCUGCAGCCAGCUUCAGCCUGAAUGAAAACUCAGUGAGGGAGCUGUCCAUCCUCUUGAACAUACUCCAGAGCAUGGCAGACGGCCAUGUGAUUGCCAGACACCCGGAUGUUCCCCUGGAAUUGUUACCCUGGAGAGAGUUUUGUGAACUCUUGUGUGAGAAUGUUGAAUCCCUGAUCUUGAACUUCCACGAGGCUAACAAGAGGAAUAUAUUGGCAAGCGCAAGACUGACACUAUGAACAACCUUCAGCAGAACCAGGAGGACACUUCUGCAAAAAUGUCUGGACAGUUAAAAGCACAGAAAGAAUGCUGGCAGAAAGAAAAGCAGUAUCAUGAAAACCAGUACUCAAAUCUCCUUGCAGAAGUUCAUGCAAGA